GGACAAUUGUGAGUGCUCUGUUUCCUCUGCUUUCCUCUGCUUCAGCCUCAAGCUGCGCUGCUUCGUCCGCACCUUUGUCGCAGAGAAGUUUCCUCUUCUUCCUGGUGCCCUAGCUCGAGGUAGGGCUGCCGCCUUGCCGCGCCACCGCCGACCCCAGGAGCCCUCACCUGCACCUUGCCGCCUCCGACUCCAACGCGGCAUCGCGUCGCCCCCGCCCGCGGCGAUCUUCUUCGACAUUGGUUCUCGAGCUGUCAGACAGAUAUAUGGACAUGAUGAUUAUCAUAAGACUGGCAGGCGUUACAAGGUAUGUAUGUCAGCCUUCGUAGCUUUUCUCCGUUCCUAAAUACUACUCCCUCCGUCCGAAAAAAGUUGUCCCAAGCUUGUCUUUCAAAUGGAUGUAUCUAGCACUAACUUGGAGCUAUAUACAUCCAUUUGAGGGACAAGUUUCUUCGGACGGAGGGAGUACCUGGGAUAAAUUUUCAUCGAGAGAUAAUCCUUUUGGGUGGAUACUCAAGUAGCUCUCUCGAACUGAGGAUUCCAAAUAGUUAUCUUGAAUCUAUUAUUGGAUCUGAUGGUGCCAAUCUAGCGGAGAUCCGCCAGCCAGACCUCUGGUGCAAGAAUGAAGUUACUUGCAGCCCAUUCUGGCUGUCCGCCGGAAUACAUCAUAUGGAGAUUCAACGGUAUUGCCGGACCAAUUGAGAGAGGCACAAAGUCUCUGCAACCAGAACGGGCAGCCAUCACAGCCUUCUCGCGGCGUCCAUUGCCCAAGGUGGAACUACAUCCUAGUCUUGUGGUGGAGAACAACAGAGGAUGCAACUCCGGGAUGCAAGCGCUCUAUACUCGUUGUACAUGGAACCUGGAUGGUGGAAGUUGUUGUUACAUACAAUGCUGUUUAUGAACUUUGCAUCGCACAUCUUGCUGUUUUGCUGAUGGUCAGCACUCAGGAGACCAUAGUUUUCCAACUUAGAAUUCAGUUUGUAGCAAUAUGAGCAGGAAUUAAGUUACUAUUGAUAUUGGAUUUUACAUGAAACAACUUUUUUUGUUAUUG